UGCACAGCAAAUGCAGGUUGGUCUUCUAACAGGAGGAAAGGGUGAAAACAUCUGGCACCCAGCCCUUUGGGCAGGACGGGUUCUUACAGAUGGAUCAAUACUCCUAGAAGAAACAAAGAGGUAAAUCUUUCCAAGGAGAACCAUUAUCAAGUGGCAAGGAUGUUAUGAAAUAUACUGAGAAGAAACUAAGAAGGAAAGAUUUGUUCUUCUGGAACAUGAACAGUGACACUGAUCCAAGUGGCUCCUGGAAAGGGCUUGGCACACUUAGAAAAACAAGGAAGAAUAAGAUUUGGUCUCUGACCAGAAAGUAUUUAUAAUCCAACCAAAGAGAUAAACUUGCAUAGAAGUAACUUCGAAAUGAAACCAGGAGUUUGCCUGCAUAGUCUGAACUUCUGCGUCUCAUUCUAAGUCAGACUGUAAACAUGUCCCUUUGAUGGGUUUCCCACUUCCAGAACUAGUUAGGUAAAUCGUAACCAUUGGGGAAAAGUGGAUGAAGGGCGCAGAGGAUCUCCCUGUACUAUUGUUACAACUUCCUGUGCAUCCGAACUCUGCUUCUACUUAGACCGUAUUCCUGGAGUAGUACGUCUCCGUUCUGGAUCUGGCACUUGAAACUGGCCACAGUGGAGAACUUUUAACCUACAUAAACUGGAAAAGAGGAAUCUCAGAGAAGCACUCACCAUAAAGGAGAAAGCUAUUGACUUCUUGUUUAUCUCAUUUUGUGUCCUGAGAACUUGGCUUGACAACCAUGAGGUUGAGGGCCCCAUAAACAUGGCUGGAUAGAAAUAAUUUAUCAGCAAGAAAAAUAACUCAACAUGACGAUUAGCUGUUUAAUGUCUCGUGAAACUUACAGUAAUGUAAACAUAAUUGCUAAGAACAAGUAAAUCGAUAGAGAGCAUGCACUCCAGCAACAGGAGGUGGAGAAGGAAAGGGAGAGAGUUCCA